AAGAGAACAAAGAACAGAGAACCCUGGGAACUACCAACCUGUCAGCCUUGCCUCUGUGCCUGGGAAGAUCAUGAAACAGAUACUCCUAGAAUCAGGAGGUGAUCCUAGGACAGGGAGGUGAUAUGGGACAGUCAGAGGAUCUUCACUAAGGGCAACCAGAUGAUCAACCAAAUGGCUUUCUAUGAU